rnacentral:rRNA from 1 species
CAGCAGCCGCGGUAAUACGAAGGGAGCUGGCGUUGUUCGGAAUUACUGGGCGUAAAGGGCGCGUAGGCGGCCAUUCAAGUUAGAUGUGAAAGCCCUGGGCUCAACCUAGGAAUUGCAUUUGAUACUGUUUGGCUUGAGUUCGGGAGAGGUGAGUGGAAUUCCCAGUGUAGAGGUGAAAUUCGUAGAUAUUGGGAAGAACACCAGUGGCGAAGGCGGCUCACUGGACCGACACUGACGCUGAGGCGCGAAAGCGUGGGGAGCAAACAGGAUUAGAUACCCCAGUAGUCCCUGUCUCUUAUAC